ensembl:lncRNA novel transcript
GGCCUGCGCAUGCGCGCGCCCCAGGGCCCAGCCCUGUUCCUGCUCCGGCUCCUGCGGGGAUGGAUGCUUCACGCAGUAAGCGACCUAAGUCGCGGAAGCGUAGACACCCGGCUUUUCCCGCGUGCUCUAUCGGGCUCCCCUGGACACGGAGGGUGGAGCAGAAAGAGCAGAGGGGCCGGUGGGAGCCAUGGGGAGUCCGCCUAGCUCCAGAGGACACCUUACCUGGAUCCGCCUUUGUAGCCUCCUCCUGGCUCUGGGGGCUGUCCUGUGGGGUCCGAGUAGCUGAAAGACAGCCCCUCCAUGAAAGUGCUGCUUUCAACAUCUGCCACAUUUGCAAGAAGAGCAAAGGUGGCCCAUUUGAGACCACCCUUGAACUAAACCAUCCAGUGAGCCCCUGAGGUCGGGACAGAAGUGGCCAUGACCUUCCUCAAGCAGGGACUGUGGUGGAGCCCACCUUAUCCAGCACAAGGUGGCCUGCUGACUUCUGGUGACAGUGAUGCCAACUUCCUGGCUGUCCAAGGUUCAAAUCUUGGUCUUAAUCCUCCUGGCCUUCUCUCAUCAAUGGCCAGAGCCACCCUAGCUAACAAGGUGCCCAGGGACUCCGGGGUGGGAGAAGUCCAGCUUCUUCUUAGCUGAGGACAUUUGAGUCUCGUCACAGCCCCCAAAAGAAUACUCAUUUUUGUAGCUGGAGGGCCUGGCCUCUGUCUAUCUUUGCUUUUCCAGAAGCUGACAAGUACCUGCCGGAAAAACUGCCUCUUUUCCCUCCCGUGCUUGGAGCAGGCAUUGCUGACAGAUCACAGCUGCUGGGCCCAAAGGUCCCUUUGCACGCGGGACUUCAGGAAGUUGCUGCUGACCUAUGGGAGUUGGUGCAGAAAGAUGAAAUUUGUUAUCCUUGGCUGUAUCAACUCUCUCUCCUCUCCUUGGUGGUGAUAGUUUUGUUCUUAAAAGCCUCUUGUGAGAGAAUUUGUGGAUGAAGAACCUGUAAGAUCACAAGUGAAACAAUUUAUUGAUGUCAAUAGAUUUAUACACGUUCAUUAAGAAUCAAAACUAAACUAAAACAUCAGUCUGACUAAAGAGACCACCACAGAUAUUUCAUAUGCUGUACAUCAGUAACAAAGGGUACCAAAUAGUUAAUAUCCAUGUACUAGUCACAUGAGAAAUGUUUUAGGGUCAUUGACCAGUGUAGUCAGUACAGUGGUCCCAUGGUAUUUGUGGGGGAUUGGUUCCAGGAAUCUCUUGGACACCAACUCCGUGGAUGAUCAGACAAUAUAAAAUGUGGGUCAGGUGCGGUGGCUCAUACCUGUAAUCCCAGCAUUUUGCGAGAAUCACUUGAGGCCAGUUCAAGAUCAGCCUGUGCAACAUAGCAAGACUCCACCUCUAAAAAAAAAAAAAAAAAAAAAAAUUAGCCCAGUGCAGCGGUGUGCACCUGUAGUCCCAGCUUCUCAUGAGGUUGAGGUGAAAAGAUCACUUGGGCCCAGGAGUUUGAGGCUGCAGUGAGCUGUGACUGCCACUGCACUCCAGCCUGAGUGACAAAGCAAGUCCCUGUCUCUUAAAAAAUAAAAUAAAAUAAUAGCAUUUGAAUGUAACCUACACACAUCUCCCAUAUACUUUAAAUCAUCUGUAGAUUGCUUAUAAUACCUAAUACACUGUAAAUGCUAUGUAAA